GUUUGGUAAUCAAUAAUUUUUUUAUAAAUAAAUGAUUGAACGUUUGAGCGUAAAGAUAGCCGACCUUUACGUAUAUUGCGUGAAGUGGUUCGAAUAAAAUACUUAAAUCGACGCAGAAUCGUUUGGUAGCGACGAAUCCACGAAAUAUAGUCUUUGAAAAUCGUCUGGUGGUGCUUGGUAGUUUUAAUAUAAUGUUUGGUGAUUAUUUCCUCGAUCAACAUAAAUUGAAAAACUAUCGGAAAUCAGUUCACGAGAACGAAGCGCUCUAAUUUGUUAUCGAAGUCAGGUUGAACGGGACAAUUAUCGAUGGUGAAAAGUUACUAGGCGCGGACGAGAACGCAUCCUGGUCCAUCUGGAUACAUCAGUGAUAUCGUUCUAGCUAAAUACUACGUGAGAAAAAAACAUUCAAUAAUUGCAUUUCAAUAACACUCAAAUAAUUAGAGAGGUAACAAAAACUCGGAGAAUGUAACUGAAAGCAAACAUCAGGAAAGUUGAUUCAGUAGUUUGUAGGCAGUUAUGGUAAACCCGAGAUGAAUAUUUACAAACUGGAAUUGGAAUAUUUUUUUUACAAGAUUUGGAAUGUCAUUAUACAGUGUUCAUUAUACCAAUAAAUUGAUGUGCAAACUAGAAGAAGAAACACAAAUGUAUCAAGAAAGAGCGUAUGUGUCGUUAUGGCCAAGGACGAAGAAGAAUAUAGGAAGCUCAUUGAUCAGAAGAAGGCAAACGUUUAGUUUUCCUACUCUCACAAACCUACAUGUUCAUCAGCAAUCUUAUGAAAAUGGUUGAACAGCACAAAAUGGAACAGCAAAGAAAACAAAUUGAAGCGUAAAAAGAAGGAAAAGGAACACAGGACAGCAAAGAGGAUGCAAACUGGGAUGAUGUCCGUGUGAAUGUCAACGAGAUUGCAACUGGUGAAACGUUGACCGAUGAAGACGCUCCGCUUAUGAGCCAAAUCUGAACUUUCACAUCCUAUUGCAUCCUGGCUGGGAACAUGUAGAAUCCAAGAGCGAAGGUGAUACGGAUUAUGAUGAAGAAAAUGAAGAGAAAAAUCGCGAUAGCGGUAAAAAAAAAGACAAAUCUUCACGGAUAUGUCUCUAGUUCUUACUCAAUGAUUUGAUCAGAGACUUCUCCCGACAAAUAUUAAAUUCCAUUAUGUUUAUAACAUAUUUUAGUUGUUUGUGAGAUUACAUUUUUCUAAUUAUCACCUUCAUUCGUUGUACAAUCA